GUUUUACAUAAAGAAAAUUAAGUAAUGUGUCCUAUUAUAAAUCAAUAAACUUUGUCAAGAUUUUAGGAAUUUAAGAGGCGAAAGUGAAGUUCUAUGGCCAAUUUUCUUAUUGAAAACAACGAGUUAAGAAGUGUAAUUCAGAGCUCAUCGGUCGUAUCGAGAAAGGAAAUAAGAACAUGUCUCCCCUGACCUAUUGAUCCUGAAAGGAGAAUACUUCUUUAAUAAUUUGAAAAUAGCUCUGUUCCGAGAAACCGUUUUUCCUUCUCUCUUCUGGCUUCCAAUCAAUAAACAAACUGCCAAAACGUAGUCACCACCUGUUUUAUUGCAAAGCAGGAUGAUAGAAACUGGUAAAACCAUGAGUCCCAGGAACCACCGAAACGUCAUAGCUACGUAAGAAAGACCUUGCGUCACGUGUUGACAUCACGUGGCCUUCGGAAUAACAUCUGUUUUUUUUGGUUCACUUUUUAAUCCUUACGUUUUUUAUACAAUGAUUUCAUACUUACCAAGUAAUUCUAAAUUGUAAUAAGUACUUUAUUUUAUAAAGAACAGCAUCUGAUAAAUAAUAAAACCGUUUGACGAUUAUCUUAAUUAUAAAUAUAAAUUUUUGAAAUUUCUAAUCACGUAGAUCAUUUGAAAAAAUUCAAUCACGUUUAAAAUACUUCUGCCCACAUUUAAUAAAUAUAUAAGAUUAUUAUAUGAUACGGUAUUUUUUUAAAAGCAUAAUCAAGUCACUAAUUAUUUCCGAAAUGUUCUACGUAGGAAAACUAGAUUUACCACAUUGUUGAAGACAUUUACUUAAUAAGUGGAUCUACAACAGUUUACUAAGUUGAUAAAACUUAAUAAUUAAAUAGAAAAAAAUCCUGUAUUUGGAUAUCGUUGCGCCCAUAUCUAUUACUAAGGAUCAUUCAUAGGCUUAUUCGAUACUGAUAUGAAUGACUCUUAGCAAUUGUU